rnacentral:rRNA from 1 species
CCUACGGGUGGCAGCAGUGAGGAAUAUUGGUCAAUGGACGAGAGUCUGAACCAGCCAAGUAGCGUGAAGGAUGACUGCCCUAUGGGUUGUAAACUUCUUUUAUAUGGGAAUAAAACAGGGUAUGCAUACCCUCUUGUAUGUACCAUAUGAAUAAGGAUCGGCUAACUCCGUGCCAGCAGCCGCGGUAAUACGGAGGAUCCGAGCGUUAUCCGGAUUUAUUGGGUUUAAAGGGAGAGUAGGUGGAUUGUUAAGUCAGUUGUGAAAGUUUGCGGCUGAACCGUAAAAUUGCAGUUGAAACUGGCAGUCGUGAGUGCAGGAGAGGUGGGCGGAAGUCGUGGUGUAGAGGGGAAAUGCGGAGAGGGGGGGGGGGGGGGGUAUUGCGAAGGCAGAUCACUGGACUGCAACUGACACUGAUGCUCGAAAGUGUGGGUAUCAAACAGGAUUAGAUACCCUUGUAGUC